rnacentral:rRNA from 1 species
CCUGGUUGAUCCUGCCAGUAGUCAUAUGCUUGUCUCAAAGAUUAAGCCAUGCAUGUGUAAGUAUGAACGAAUUCAGACUGUGAAACAGUGAAUGGCUCAUUAAAUCAGUUAUAGUUUGUUUGAUGGUAACUACUACUGGAAUAACCAUAGUAAUUAUAGAGCUGUGUCGUGCAACAAUCCCUGACUUCUGCAAGGGAUGCUUUUAUUAGAUAAAAGGUCGAUGCGGGCUCUGCCUGUUGCUCUGAUGAUUCAUGAUAACUCGACGAAUCGCAUGGCCUUAGUGCUGGCGACGCAUCAUUCAAAUUUAUGCCCUAUCAACUUUCGAUGGUAGGAUAGUGGCCUACCAUACUGGUAACGGGUGACGGAGAAUUAGGGUUCGAUUCCGAAGAGGGAGCCUGAGAAACGGCUACCACAUCCAAGGAAUGCAGCAGGCGCGCAAAUUACCCAAUCCUGACACUGGGAGGUAGUGACAAUUAUUUCACAAUACCGGGAUCUUUGAGUCUGGUAAUUGGAAUGAGUACAAUCUAAAUCCCUUAACGAGGAUCCAUUGGAGGGCAAGUCUGGUGCCUGCACCCGUGGUAAUUCCAGCUCCAAUAGCGUAUAUUUAAGUUGUGGCAGUUAAAAAGCUCGUAGUUGAACCUUGGGAUGGGUCGCCCGGUCCGCCUUUGAUGAGCACCGGUCGCCUUGUCUCUUCUGUCGGCGAUAUGCUCCUGGCCUUAACUGGCCGGGUCGUGCCUCCGGUGCUUUUACUUUGAAGAAAUUAGAGUGCCCAAAGCAAGCCUACGCGCUGUAUACAUUAGCAUGGGAUAACAUCAUAGCAUUUUGAUCCUAUUGUGUUGGCCUUCGGGAUCGGAGUAAUGAUUAACAUGGACAGUCGGGGGCAUUCGUAUUUCGUAGUCAGAGGUGAAAUUCUUGGAUUCAUUAAUCAAGAACGAAAGUUGGGGGCUCGAAGACGAUCAGAUACCGUUCUAGUCUCCACCAUAAACGAUGCCGACCAGGGAUCAGCGGGUGUUGCUUUUAGGACUCCGCUGGCACCUUAUGAUAAAUCAAAUUUUUUGGGUUCCGGGGGGUGUAUGGUUUGAAGGCUGAAACUUAAAGGAAUUGACGGAAGGGCACCACCAGGAGUGGAGCCUGCGGCUUAAUUUGACUCAACACGGGGAAACUUACCAGGUCCAGACAUAGUAAGGAUUGACAAACUAAGAGCUGUUUCAUGAUUCUAUGAGUGGUGGUGCAUGGCCGUUCUUAGUUGGUGGAGCGAUUUCCCUGGUUAAUUCCAUUAACAACGAGACCUCAGCCUGCUAACUAGCUACGUGGAGGCAUCCCUUCACGACCGGCUUCUUAGAGGGACUAUGACCGUUUAUGCCAAGGAAGUUUGAGGCAAUAACAGUUCUGUGAUGCCCUUAGAUGUUCUGGGCCGCACGCGCGCUACACUGAUAUAUUCAACGAGUUCACACCUUGGCGACAGGCUCGGGUAAUCUUUGAAAUUUCAUCGUGAUGGGGAUAGAUAAUUGCAAUUGUUGGUCUUCAACGAGGAAUUCCUAGUAAGCGCGAGUCAUCAGCUCGCAUUGACUACGUCCCUGCCCUUUGUACACACCGCCCGUCACUCCUACCGAUUGAAUGAUCCGGUGAAGUGUUCGGAUCGCAGCGACGUGGGUGGUUUGCUGUCUGUGACGUCACGAGAAGUCCACUAAACCUUAUCAUUUAUAGGAAGGAGAAUUCGUAACAAGGUUUCCGUAGGUGAACCUGCAGAAG